AUUAGAGUUUGAAUCAUGGCUCAGAAUCAACGCUGGCGGCGUGCCUCAGACAUGCAAGUCGAACGCGAAAUCUCCCUUCGGGGAGAGAGUAGAGUGGCGCACGGGUGAGUAACACGUAGGUAAUUUGCCUUCGGGUGGGGAAUAACAGCCGGAAACGGCUGCUAAUACCGCAUAAUGCAGCGGCUCGACAUCGAGACAAGUUGUUAAAGCGGGGGAUCGCAAGACCUCGCGCCUGAAGAGAAGCCUGCGGCGGAUUAGCUAGUUGGUAGGGUAAUGGCCUACCAAGGCGACGAUCCGUAACCGGCCUGAGAGGGCGGUCGGUCACACUGACACUGACAUACGGGUCAGACUCCUACGGGAGGCAGCAGUCGGGAAUUUUGGGCAAUGGGCGAAAGCCUGACCCAGCAACCCCGCGUGAAGGAUGAAAUCCCUCGGAUGUAACUUCGCAAGAAUGGGAAGAAUAAGUAGAAGCUAAUACCGUCUAUGAUGC
rnacentral:rRNA from 1 species